GUUGAAUGAGAGAGACGAGUUGAGGAUACUGCCAACGCAACAGAUAGAUGCCGUUAAAAAAAAAAGAGAACCAAAACCUAAUGCCUAAAAAGAAAUGAACUUCUACUGCCCUCUCCUGCUGAAACAAUGGAACACUAAACCAUCGGGGUCCUCAAAAGCUAGAGCUAAUCCUGAAAUGAAAGCAAUGGACAUGUCAUUCUCAAUACUACAAGCAAAAAUAGGACGACAACAGGAAGUUUAUUGGUAAUAUUUAUAUUUGAAAACUCCCCAUCGAUACAUGAGGUUUAGAUUACAACUUAUUUACAGCAUGUGACCGAAAAAGCAAACCUAUUUUCGGAGAAGUCAUGAUACAAGGGUGUCUGCUUCCAACACCAACACCGCUGCAGCCGCUGCCGCGAGCAGCCCUCGGAUCGACAUUCUCUUAGCUUUCAAGACGCACGUUCUUUCGUCUAGACUUUCAAAACUACAUAUUGAGGAAUAUAAAAUUCACUGCCAACACCUAUUAGAAAAAUCCUCUGUGGCUCAUUUUUACCCAACUCACUUGAAGGUGAGCCGGAAUACAAAAAUAAAAAUAUCCAUGUGCAAAUAAAACAUUUGAUCAU